UCUGAGGCUGGCCUCAAACUUUUGAUCCUCCUGCCACUGCCUUCUGAGUUGCUGGGAUUACAGGUCACCCUGAAGUGACUUGCUUCCCUCUGCCACUGUCAGGAUGUUCAGCCUCACCUGGAGCUCUGAAGAAUGGAGCCAGCCUUCUAUGGACUAAGAUCUCUGAAACUGUGAGCCCUCAAAUAAAAUUUUCCUCCUCUA